rnacentral:rRNA from 1 species
GAUGAACGCUGGCGGCGUGCCUAACACAUGCACGCCGAGCGAACAGACCCCCCCCCUGCUCCUCUCACCUUAGCGGCCGACCGGCGAGUACCACGUGCCCCACCCCCCUAUACGACUGGGAUAACCUCGGGAACCCGCCGCUACCACCGGACAAUAUAUUGAACCGCAUGGUUCAAUAGUGCAAGCCGGCUUUGCUGCCCCCUCUAGCCGGAUCCGCGCCGCAUUAGCUAGUUGGUAAGGGCACGGCUUACCCAGGCAGCGAUGCGUAGCCGACCUGCCAGGGUGAUCGGCGACACUGGAACUGAGACACGGUCCAGACUCCUACGGGAGGCAGCAGUAGGGAAUCUUCCGCAAUGGGCGAAAGCCUGACGGAGCAACGCCGCGUGAGUGAUGAAGGUCUUCGGAUCGGAAAACUCUGUUAUUAGGGAAGAACAAAUGUGUAAGUAACUAUGCACGUCUUGACGGUACCUAAUCAGAAAGCCACGGCUAACUACGUG